rnacentral:rRNA from 1 species
UACGGGGGGGGCAAGCGUUGUUCGGAAUUACUGGGCGUAAAGGGCGCGUAGGUGGCCUUCUAAGUUGAACGUGAAAUCCCUGGGCUCAACCCAGGAACUGCGUCCAAGACUGGGAGGCUUGAAUCCGGGAGAGGGAUGCAGAAUUCCAGGUGUAGCGGUGAAAUGCGUAGAUAUCUGGAGGAAUACCGGUGGCGAAGGCGGCAUCCUGGACCGGCAUUGACGCUGAUGAGCGAAAGCUAGGGGAGCAAACGGG